rnacentral:lncRNA from 1 species
AAUAAUCAGAAGUUCUAUGGAAACAAUAUAUCUAGUAUUUCUCAUUUAUGAUUGAAAAUGAUCUUGAAGACUGAAAUUCCUUGACCUCCUUUAAAAGAAUGAAGCAAACAUUGUUUUAACCAUACAGAACAUCCAGACAUCUGCAGUUCGCCUAUAGGAUAGGUUUGGAUUAUUCGGAUUACCUAAACUGCAGACACCAAUGGAUAUAACAAAUAUGUUGAUGAGAAAAUCCAUAAGGAGAAUUAGAGCUUACUUUAAUUCCAUGAUCCAACUUUGGCACUUACCUUGAUAAAUGCAGGAGAGCUGCAACGUGCCCUUAAAUUACAGAGAACUAACAUUUACUGCAGUUAGCAUAAUGGGUAUCACGCUAGACCUCACCGUGUCUGGCUGUUUCAGCACUUCAAGUCCCUUUGGCCUUGCAGAGGUGAGGUCAGCAUAAGGAGGCAGAUAGACAAGCUAUUUGCUGCAAGUCCUCAAAGGUAUGAUCGUAGAAUGAUUUUAGCUUGACAACAAGAUGUUUGAUCUGCCUUCAAUAACAAGAUGCUUGAUCUUUUCCACAACUGCAAAUUUAAAAUUAAAUGAGUAAAAAAACUAACACUAAAACAAGUAGUGAAAACAUAUUUUCCGAUGCCUAUCUAGCAUGUAGUUUUCUACUUUCAUCUUAAAGACUCCUGGACCAUUGUUCCUCCAGAAAUGCAAAAUCUGCAAACUGGAACCAUAUCUUCAGAAUGACAUAUGAAUGGUGAGCAUUCAAUCAUCAGAAUUCACUCUAAGUUUAGUGUUAAAACCCAAUCUCUUUAGUAGAAUGGGUGAGGUAUUCUAAAUCUGUAUUCUCAUAUACAAAAUCAUACAAAGCAUACAAGCACGUAUUCUCAUAUACAAAAUCAUACAAUUAAAGUGAGUGUACAACAAAAUAUAUCCAAUAACAACCAUGAUCCAUGUGUUUAAAAAAAACAAGCAUGCUCCAUAGACUAUGCAAGCUUACUCCUAGGUAAAAGCAGUGAAAAAAUGUAGUUAGAGUUUGGGUUUCAUAAUGAAAUUUAAGAGAUGCACAUGAAUUUUCAAAAUGGCUAGGAAUAAAAAGGUUGUGGUGAAGAGACAUUGGCAAUUUAGUUUACCCAUGUUCACGUGCUUGCCUCCUAGCAUCAUGGCCUUCUUCUUCUUCCUCUCGCAGCAGGUCAUCCUCUGUCCUGGGGCUCGCCAGCAGCCAGGAAGGAGAGGACAAGGCCUAGGCAGAGCUCGUGCCCACACUCGCGCGGUGGCGGCGAAGAACCCAAAUAAUCGUAGAAGCUAU